rnacentral:rRNA from 1 species
CGGUAACAGGAARCAGCUUGCUGYUUYGCUGACGAGUGGCGGACGGGUGAGUAAUGUCUGGGAAACUGCCUGAUGGAGGGGGAUAACUACUGGAAACGGUAGCUAAUACCGCAUAACGUCGCAAGACCAAAGAGGGGGACCUUCGGGCCUCUUGCCAUCGGAUGUGCCCAGAUGGGAUUAGCUWGUWGGUGGGGUAACGGCUCACCWAGGCGACGAUCCCUAGCUGGUCUGAGAGGAUGACCAGCCACACUGGAACUGAGACACGGUCCAGACUCCUACGGGAGGCAGCAGUGGGGAAUAUUGCACAAUGGGCGCAAGCCUGAUGCAGCCAUGCCGCGUGUAUGAAGAAGGCCUUCGGGUUGUAAAGUACUUUCAGCGGGGAGGAAGGGAGUAAAGUUAAUACCUUUGCUCAUUGACGUUACCCGCAGAAGAAGCACCGGCUAACUCCGUGCCAGCAGCCGCGGUAAUACGGAGGGUGCAAGCGUUAAUCGGAAUUACUGGGCGUAAAG